rnacentral:rRNA from 1 species
CUAAGUAACUAACAAGGAUUCCCCUAGUAACGGCGAGUGAACCGGGAAGAGCUCAAAUUUGAAAUCUGGCGUCCUUCGGGCGUCCGAGUUGUAAUCUAUAGAGAUGUUUUCCGUGCCGGACCGUGUCCAAGUCCCUUGGAACAGGGUAUCAAAGAGGGUGAUAAUCCCGUACUUGACACGAUGACCGGUGCCCUGUGAUACGUCUUCUACGAGUCGAGUUGUUUGGGAAUGCAGCUCAAAACGGGUGGUGAGUUCCAUCUAAAGCUAAAUAUUGGCGAGAGACCGAUAGCGAACAAGUACCGUGAGGGAAAGAUGAAAAGCACUUUGGAAAGAGAGUUAAACAGUACGUGAAAUUGUUGAAAGGGAAACGAUUGAAGUCAGUCGUGUCCGGGGGGUUCAGCCUGCUUCUGCUGGUGUAUUCCCCCUUGGAUGGGUCAACAUCAGUUUGGUCCGGCGGAUAAGGGUGAUGGGAAUGUAGCACCUCUCGGGGUGUGUUAUAGCCCGUUACCGCAUACGCUGGUCCAGACUGAGGACUGCAGCUCGCCUUUAUGGCAGGGGUUCGCCCACUCCGAGCUAGGAGUGACG